CCCAUUCCGAACACGGAAGUUAAGCCCACCAGCGCCGAUGGUACUUGGGACGAGUGUCCCCGGGAGAGUAGGUCGCCGCCGGAU
rnacentral:rRNA from 1 species